rnacentral:rRNA from 1 species
UGGGCAACCUGCCCUCAGCUCUGGGAUAACUCCAAGAAAUUGGGGCUAAUACCGGAUAUGACCGCUGACCGCAUGGUCUGGUGGUGGAAAGUUCUUCGGCUGAGGAUGGGCCCGCGGCCUAUCAGCUUGUUGGUGGGGUUACGGCCCACCAAGGCGACGACGGGUAGCCGGCCUGAGAGGGCGACCGGCCACACUGGGACUGAGACACGGCCCAGACUCCUACGGGAG